ACUUCUCAUUAUGUCCCUAGUGGAGUCACCAUUAUGGGUGCAGCUUUUUCAAGGCCCACCGAAAGCGAUUACAGCUAUAUCACUAUGUUGAAGGUUGUCUCAUCUAUACUAGGCUCGAUUUGAAAGUGAGCCAUCCAGGAAGAGGUCUCAAGGGAUCACGACAACUGCGGUGUCUGCAAUUUAUCGAAGAAGACUGAGAGUCACC
rnacentral:lncRNA from 1 species